rnacentral:rRNA from 1 species
CACGUAGGGGGCGAGCGUUGUCCGGAUUUAUUGGGCGUAAAGAGCUCGUAGGCGGCUCAGUAAGUCGGGUGUGAAACCCUCAGGCUCAACCUGGGGACGCCACCCGAUACUGCUGUGGCUAGAGUCCAGUAGGGGAGUGUGGAAUUCCCGGUGUAGCGGUGAAAUGCGCAGAUAUCGGGAGGAACACCAGCGGCGAAGGCGGCACUCUGGGCUGGUACUGACGCUGAGGAGCGAAAGCGUGGGUAGCAAACAGG